UACGGGGGGGGGGCAAGCGUUGUUCGGACUUACUGGGCGUAAAGGGCUCGUAGGUGGCCACCUAAGUCAGACGUGAAAUCCCUCGGCUUAACCGGGGAACUGCGUCUGAUACUGGAUGGCUUGAGUUCGGGAGAGGGAUGCGGAAUUCCAGGUGUAGCGGUGAAAUGCGUAGAUAUCGGGAGGAACAUCAGUGGCGAAGGCGGCCCUCUGGUCCAGUACUGACACUCAAGUGCGAAAGCGUGGGGAGCAAACAGG
rnacentral:rRNA from 1 species